GCCGGGUGUGGUGGCUCAUGCCUGUAAUCCCAGUACUUUGGGAGGCUGAGGUGGGCGGAUCACCUGAGGUCAGGAGUUCCAGACUAGCCUGACCAACAUGGAGAAACCCCGUCUCUA
ensembl:misc_RNA Metazoa_SRP Metazoan signal recognition particle RNA